rnacentral:rRNA from 1 species
UACGUAGGGGCCUAGCGUUGUCCGGAUUUAUUGGGCGUAAAGAGCUCGUAGGCGGUUCGGUAAGUCAGGUGUGAAAUCUCCACGCUCAACGUGGAGGCGCCACCUGAAACUGCCGUGACUCGAGUCCGGUAGGGGAGUGUGGAAUUCCCGGUGUAGCGGUGAAAUGCGCAGAUAUCGGGAGGAACACCAGUAGCGAAGGCGGCACUCUGGGCCGGU